rnacentral:rRNA from 1 species
GACGAACGCUGGCGGCGUGCCUAAUACAUGCAAGUAGAACGCUGAAGAGAGGAGCUUGCUCUUCUUGGAUGAGUUGCGAACAGGUGAGUAACGCGUAGGUAACCUGCCUUGUAGCGGGGGAUAACUAUUGGAAACGAUAGCUAAUACCGCAUAACAAUGGAUGACACAUGUCAUUUAUUUGAAAGGGGCAAUUGCUCCACUACAAGAUGGACCUGCGUUGUAUUAGCUAGUAGGUGAGGUAAUGGUUCACCUAGGCGACGAUACAUAGCCGACCUGAGAGGGUGAUCGGCCACACUGGGACUGAGACACGGCCCAGACUCCUACGGGAGGCAGCAGUAGGGAAUCUUCGGCAAUGGGGGCAACCCUGACCGAGCAACGCCGCGUGAGUGAAGAAGGUUUUCGGAUCGUAAGGCUCUGUUGUAAGUCAAGAACGGGUGUGAGAGUGGAAAGUUCACACUGUGACGGUAGCUUACCAGAAAGGGACGGCUAACUACGUG